AUUGAACGCUGGCGGCAUGCCUUACACAUGCAAGUCGAACGGCAGCGCGGACUUCGGUCUGGCGGCGAGUGGCGAACGGGUGAGUAAUAUAUCGGAACGUACCCAAGAGUGGGGGAUAACGUAGCGAAAGUUACGCUAAUACCGCAUACGAUCUAAGGAUGAAAGCGGGGGAUCGCAAGACCUCGUGCUCCUGGAGCGGCCGAUAUCUGAUUAGCUAGUUGGUGGGGUAAAGGCCCACCAAGGCAUCGAUCAGUAGCUGGUCUGAGAGGACGACCAGCCACACUGGAACUGAGACACGGUCCAGACUCCUACGGGAGGCAGCAGUGGGGAACUUUGGACAAUGGGGGCAACCCUGAUCCAGCAAUGCCGCGUGAGUGAAGAAGGCCUUCGGGUUGUAAAGCUCUUUUGUCAGGGAAGAAAAGGGUGUGGCUAAUAUCCAUGCCUCAUGACGGUACCUGAAGAAUAAGCACCGGCUAACUACGUGCCAGCAGCCGCGGUAA
rnacentral:rRNA from 1 species